rnacentral:rRNA from 1 species
UCUGGUGGAAAGUGGCAGACGGGUGAGUAACGCGUGGGAAUUUACCCAGUGGUACGGAAUAACUUCGGGAAACCGGAGCUAAUACCGGAUACGCCCUUCGGGGGAAAGAUUUAUCGCCAUUGGAUGAGCCCGCGUCGGAUUAGCUUGUUGGUGGGGUAAUGGCCUACCAAGGCGACGAUCCGUAGCUGGUCUGAGAGGAUGAUCAGCCACACUGGGACUGAGACACGGCCCAGACUCCUACGGGAGGCAGCAGUGGGGAAUAUUGCGCAAUGGGGGCAACCCUGACGCAGCCAUGCCGCGUGAGUGAAGAAGGCCUUAGGGUUGUAAAACUCUUUCAGUGGUGAAGAUAAUGACGGUAGCCACAGAAGAAGCCCCGGCCAACUCCGUGCCAGCAGCCGCGGUAAUACGGAGGGGGCUAGCGUUGUUCGGAAUUACUGGGCGUAAAGCGCGCGUAGGCGGGCUGGUUAGUUGGGGGUGAAAUCCCGAGGCUUAACCUCGGAACUGCCUUCAAUACUGCCAGUCUAGAGUUCGAGAGAGGUAAGUGGAAUUCCUAGUGUAGAGGUGAAAUUCGUAGAUAUUAGGAAGAACACCGGUGGCGAAGGCGGCUUACUGGCUCGAUACUGACGCUGAGGCGCGAAAGCGUGGGGAGC